rnacentral:ncRNA from 1 species
CCAAUACAUCAAGAGAGAGAUUAAGUUCUCCUCCAACCUGCCAACUCCGGCAAGGUGGAAAAAAAUGAUGUGGUUAACCAACAAACAUUGGAGUACAA